UUUCUGGUAGCUCAGAUGGUAAAGCGUCUGCCUACAAUGCAGGAGACCCGGGUUCGAUCUCUGGGUUGGGAAG
rnacentral:tRNA from 1 species